GGUACUUGUACACGUUGCGGUGCAACAAUGCUUAAAGA
rfam:Clostridium cylindrosporum DSM 605 CLCY_1c, whole genome shotgun sequence.